rnacentral:sRNA from 1 species
CCUGACAGGUUAAUAACCAUGUUGCUGGACGGCAGUUUUUGAGGCUGAUGGUUAUUAGAGAUAUACCCAUUCGAUGGCGUUCAAGUUGCAGUCCAUUGGGCGAGUGUUGGUCCGUUUGUGAUAGAAAGAAAAGAGAAGAGAGAUCAAGGUGGGCCGAAAGAACCGGCAUGCCUAAGCUACAAUUCUGAUGAGAAACUAUCUACCAAGAAACCGCACUGCUGGCCGUUAUCAAGACGAGCGGAUAGCCACGCCACUACUGACAUCACGCGCGCGCAGAAUUGCUAUCAGGCCCAUAAAUAACCUUGACGAACCCUAGUCCAUGCAUGCAAGGCAGACGAGUUUCGCUAGAUAGCAAUCCAAUCGUGUUGUCAGAGGAGAGUGCAUUGAAAGUAAAGCGAGAAUUCGUGUAGUACAUCCAGUACGGGAAAUAAAAUAGUCCAAUCCACCCAGCUUCCCUCCCUUACGCUGAAAUGAUUGCUGCGGGGUGAGGAGAAGAGGACUGAGCGGUAGGUCUAACCAGGGUCC